GGAAGGAUCAUUAUUGAAUAAACCUGAUGUGGUUGUAGCUGGCUUUUCGAAGCAUGUGCACGCCCGUCAUCUUUACCUCCACCUGUGCACCUUUUGUAGUCUUGGAUACCUCUCGAGGAAACUCGGAUUUGGGAUCGCUGUGCUGUAAAAGUCAGCUUUCCUUGCAUUUCCAAGACUAUGUUUUUAUAUACACCAAAGAAUGUUUAAAGAAUGUCAUCAAUAGGAACUUGUUUCCUAUAAAAACUAUACAACUUUCAGCAACGGAUCUCUUGGCUCUCGCAUCGAUGAAGAACGCAGCGAAAUGCGAUAAGUAAUGUGAAUUGCAGAAUUCAGUGAAUCAUCGAAUCUUUGAACGCACCUUGCGCUCCUUGGUAUUCCGAGGAGCAUGCCUGUUUGAGUGUCAUUAAAUUCUCAACCUUCCAGCUUUUAUUGGCUUGGUUAGGCUUGGAUGUGGGGGUUGCGGGCUUCGUUAAGAGGUCGGCUCUCCUUAAAUGCAUUAGCGGAACUUUUGUGGACCGUCUAUUGGUGUGAUAAUUAUCUACGCCGUGGAUGUGAAGCAGCUUUAUGAGGUUCAGCUUCUAACAGUCCAUUGACUUGGACAACUUUGACAAUUUGACCUCAAAUCAGGUAGGACUACCCGCUGAACUUAAGCAUAUCAAUAAGCGGAGGAAAAGAAACUAACAAGGAUUCCCCUAGUAACUGCGAGUGAAGCGGGAAAAGCUCAAAUUUAAAAUCUGGCAGUCUUUGGCUGUCCGAGUUGUAAUCUAGAGAAGCAUUAUCCGCGCUGGACCGUGUACAAGUCUCCUGGAAAUGGAGCAUCAUAGAGGGUGAGAAUCCCGUCUUUGACAUGGACUGCCAGGGCUUUGUGAUGUGCUCUCAAAGAGUCGAGUUGUUUGGGAAUGCAGCUCAAAUGGGUGGUAAAUUCCAUCUAAAGCUAAAUAUUGGCGAGAGACCGAUAGCGAACA
rnacentral:rRNA from 1 species